ACCCACGGGUCAGUGACGCCAGAAAGCUACAGCAAAGCACGCUUUGCAAAGGACACUCACUCUAUGUCCCGGUCACAAAGACUCUCACGCACCCUUCUCAGUCCCUACGUCACAAAGGAGACGUUCCCCAACUGUCCCCCUAGAGAUGAGCCCCCUCCUCCGCAGUUCCAGCAUCCCCGGGCCUCAGGAGGCGGGAGACAAGCCCUGCCCGCGACCAAGGCGUCCUCGCUCUGAGCGCCUCCUGCAGCUCCACUCUCACCGCCACACAGGAUGGGACCAGGUCACCCGCAGCGCAGAGGUCAGGGAGGCGGAGCCAGAGGUCCGAGAUUUCUCCGUCGACCGUGGAAUCUGUAGGCCAAGACGGAACAGUCAGGACGGCAGGCACCCCUGAGAAGUGGAGUCCAGAGUCCUAAAACCAACAAGAAAUACAGCAAUGACCACGAAGACCGGGCGCCCCGCCCACCGCCUGAGCCCCGGAGACUUCUGGGAGUGGCCUCCUGACCUAGGAGUACGCAUGAGCAGAUCGGGCAAAUGCUGGGGCCCCUGUCUUGAUGCCAAGGAUGGAGUCAGUGCAUUCUCAGGGCCAGUAAGAGGCGAGUCUGGGUGGAACCUGACCCGGGUAAAAGAAAAAUGUUAGGUAAAUGGACUCACGUCCUACAGAAGUUACUUAAGUCCCAUCACAUUCUUCAGUACAUUAUGUUCUUCACCUUUGGACACGAAUACAUAAGAUUAAAAAUUUUAUUUAAAAACA